GUAGGUGGCAAGCGUUGUCCGGAAUUAUUGGGCGUAAAGCGCGCGCAGGCGGUUCUUUAAGUCUGAUGUGAAAGCCCACGGCUCAACCGUGGAGGGUCAUUGGAAACUGGAGAACUUGAGUACAGAAGAGGAAAGCGGAAUUCCACGUGCAGCGGUGAAAUGCGUAGAGAUGUGGAGGAACACCAGUGGCGAAGGCGGCUUUCUGGUCUGUAACUGACGCUGAGGCGCGAAAGCGUGGGGAGCAAACAGGAUUAGAUACCCUGGUAGUCCACGCCGUAAACGAUGAGUGCUAAGUGUUAGGGGGUUUUCCGCCCCCCUUAGUGCUGCAGCUAACGCAUUAAGCACUCCGCCUGGGAGUACGGCCGCAAGGCUG
rnacentral:rRNA from 1 species